rnacentral:rRNA from 1 species
UGGAGUCGAUUAAGCCAUGCGAGUCGCGAGAAAUUAGAUUCUCGGCGUACCGCUCAGUAACACGUGGGUAACCUGCCCUAUGCUGGAUAAUAACCUCGGGAAACUGAGAAUAAUGAUCCAUAGUCCACUACGCCUGGAACGGUGAGUGGAUGAAAGCUCCGGCGGCAUAGGAUGGGCCUGCGGCGUAUCAGGUUGUAGGGGGUGUAAUGUACCCUCUAGCCCUCUACGCGUACGGGUGUUGGGAGACAUAGCCCGGAGAUGGAUUCUGAGACACGAAUCCAGACCCUACGGGGUGCAGCAGGCGCGAAAACUUGGCAAUGCGAGAAAUCGUGACCAGGGAACUCCAAGUGCAUGGGGUAAGACCCAUGCUUUUCUUGACUCUAAAUAGGUCUUGGAAUAAGGGGUGGGUAAGGACGGUGCCAGCCGCCGCGGUAAUACCGGCGCCUCAAGUGGUAGUCGCUUUUAUUGGGCCUAAAACGUCCGUAGCCGGUCAGAUACAUUCGUGGGUAAAUCAACCAGCUUAACUGGUUGAAUUCUGCGAGGACGGUCAGACUUGGGACCGGGAGGGGUGUGGGGUACGCUCAGGUAAGGGUAAAAUCCUGUCAUCCUGAGCGGACCACCUGUUGCGAAGGCCCACACUAGAACGGAUCCGACGGUCAGGACGAAGCCUAAGGGCACAACCGGAUUAGAUACCGGGUAGUCCUAGUGUAACGCUGUGGACUUGAUGUUGGGGGUGCUCCGAGCACUCUCA